CCCGUUGCACACACCGCCCGUCACACCACGAAAGUGGUCUUAACCAGAAGUGGGUGAGCUAACCGCAAGGGGGCAGCCCACCAAGGUUGAGGCCGUGAUUGGGGUG
rnacentral:rRNA from 1 species